GAUGAACGCUAGCGGCAGGCUUAACACAUGCAAGUCGUGGGGCAGCGCGGACUUCGGUCUGGCGGCGACCGGCAAACGGGUGCGGAACACGUACGCAACCUUCCUCAGAGCGGGGAAUAGCCUCUCGAAAGAGAGAUUAAUACCCCCAUAGUAUCUUCUAGUCACAUGACUUAAAGAUUAAAGCUCCGGCACUUUGAGAUGGGCGUGCGGCUGAUUAGGUAGUUGGUAGGUAACGGCCUACCAAGCCAACGAUCAGUAGCUGAUGUNAGAGCAUGAUCAGCCACACGGGCACUGAGACACGGGCCCGACUCCUACGGGAGCAGC
rnacentral:rRNA from 1 species